rnacentral:rRNA from 1 species
CUUAACACAUGCAAGUCGAGGGGCAGCAUGGUCUUAGCUUGCUAAGGCCGAUGGCGACCGGCGCACGGGUGAGUAACACGUAUCCAACCUGCCGUCUACUCUUGGACAGCCUUCUGAAAGGAAGAUUAAUACAAGAUGGCAUCAUGAGUCCGCAUGUUCACAUGAUUAAAGGUAUUCCGGUAGACGAUGGGGAUGCGUUCCAUUAGAUAGUAGGCGGGGUAACGGCCCACCUAGUCUUCGAUGGAUAGGGGUUCUGAGAGGAAGGUCCCCCACAUUGGAACUGAGACACGGUCCAAACUCCUACGGGAGGCAGCAGUGAGGAAUAUUGGUCAAUGGGCGAGAGCCUGAACCAGCCAAGUAGCGUGAAGGAUGACUGCCCUAUGGGUUGUAAACUUCUUUUAUAAAGGAAUAAAGUCGGGUAUGCAUACCCGUUUGCAUGUACUUUAUGAAUAAGGAUCGGCUAACUCCGUGCCAGCAGCCGCGGUAAUACGGAGGAUCCGAGCGUUAUCCGGAUUUAUUGGGUUUAAAGGGAGCGUAGAUGGAUGUUUAAGUCAGUUGUGAAAGUUUGCGGCUCAACCGUAAAAUUGCAGUUGAUACUGGAUAUCUUGAGUGCAGUUGAGGCAGGCGGAAUUCGUGGUGUAGCGGUGAAAUGCUUAGAUAUCACGAAGAACUCCGAUUGCGAAGGCAGCCUGCUAAGCUGCAACUGACAUUGAGGCUCGAAAGUGUGGGUAUCAAACAGGAUUAGAUACCCUGGUAGUCCACACGGUAAACGAUGAAUACUCGCUGUUUGCGAUAUACAGCAAGCGGCCAAGCGAAAGCGUUAAGUAUUCCACCUGGGGAGUACGCCGGCAACGGUGAAACUCAAAGGAAUUGACGGGGGCCCGCACAAGCGGAGGAACAUGUGGUUUAAUUCGAUGAUACGCGAGGAACCUUACCCGGGCUUAAAUUGCAGAUGAAUUACGGUGAAAGCCGUAAGCCGCAAGGCAUCUGUGAAGGUGCUGCAUGGUUGUCGUCAGCUCGUGCCGUGAGGUGUCGGCUUAAGUGCCAUAACGAGCGCAACCCUUGUUGUCAGUUACUAACAGGUUCCGCUGAGGACUCUGACAAGACUGCCAUCGUAAGAUGUGAGGAAGGUGGGGAUGACGUCAAAUCAGCACGGCCCUUACGUCCGGGGCUACACACGUGUUACAAUGGGGGGUACAGAGGGCCGCUACCACGCGAGUGGAUGCCAAUCCCAAAAACCUCUCUCAGUUCGGACUGGAGUCUGCAACCCGACUCCACGAAGCUGGAUUCGCUAGUAAUCGCGCAUCAGCCACGGCGCGGUGAAUACGUUCCCGGGCCUUGUACACACCGCCCGUCAAGCCAUGGGAGCCGGGGGUACCUGAAGUGCGUAACCGCGAGGAGCGCCCUAGGGUAAAACUGGUGACUGGGGC